ACACCUACCGAGCGAUCUGGAUCACCGUGGACUGCUUCUUCCUGCUGGUCAUUCUGGGCCUCUUCCUGCUGCAGAGGAGGCGCUUCGGAAACAACAGAGGGGGACGUGCUGAGCACAAGAAUGGCUUUGUAAACUUACUGACGGGCGAGAUGGACACCUUUCUGUGAGGGCCAGGCCGGGCCAGCAGAUGGAAGGACUGUCUGAAGGAGUCCCUGCUAGAAGAAGCAGCAGCAGCAUUCUGAAUGCUUUCUGUUCAGGGCUGCUGAACAAUAUAUUUUUUCUGGGAACUGAGUAGCUGACUUGGGAAUCUGGAUCUCUGGGAAUGCUGCAACUCUAAUUAGGACUGGAAGGGAGUUUUUGUUUGGAGGGGUGGGUUGGUCUUGGGUUA